AUAAAAACAGGCACAUCUUACAUCAAACUCAUUCUGAAGUCAUUCAGUGAAACAACAUGGCCGCUAAACUCAUCCUCUUCGUCUGCGCCUCCGCCCUCGUGGCACAGGCUGCUCUGGGCGUUGGACGUUUCGGCGCUGGACUCGGUGGUUGUGGCUGCGGAGGUCGCGGCUAUGGCGAUUACGGCUACGCUGGUCUGGGCUACGACAUCGGCGCUGCUUCUGCUCUUGAAGCUUCUCGUGGAGGAUGUUUGCCCGUCGUCACUUCCUCGGCCGCUCCUACUGGUCUAGGAGUAUCAUCAGAGAACUCGUACGAGGGCACCGUCGGUGUCUGCGGUAACCUGCCUCUCCUCGGUACCGCCUAUGUGGAGGGCGUCUUCCCCACUGUCGGUGAGGGUGGCAUCUACUACGGCUGUGGCGACGGCGCUGUGGGCAUCAUAGCCGAGGACCGCGCCGGGCUCGGCUACGGCACUGGUUACGGGCUCGGCUACGGCGCUGGUUACGGGCUCGGCUACGGAGGCUACGUCGGACGCGGUUGCGGCUGCGGUGGCAUCUAGUCAUGUGAUUUAAUGAUAGCCGCCGGAGCUCCGUGUUGCAUGAGAAAUGUGGACCUCCGCGACUAAAUGGGCCUGGAGUCCAUCAUUUACAGUAUUUCAGUAGUAUCCAGCCAGGCCACGUCCACAGCCGCAGGUGGGGGCGCAGUGUCCGCAGAUAGAGACAGCACCAGCAGCGCAGGCGGGACCUCCG